rnacentral:rRNA from 1 species
UUUCCGGUUGAUCCUGCCAGAGGUCACUGCUAUCGGGGUUCGAUCAAGCCAUGCGAGUCGAGAGGGUUCGGCCCUCGGCGUACUACUCAGUAACACGUGGAUAACCUGCCCUAAGGAAGGGGAUAACCUCGGGAAACUGAGGAUAAUACCCUAUAGGUUACAGACGCUGGAAUGCCCUGUAACCGAAAGCUCCGGCGCCUUAGGAUGGAUCUGCGGCCGAUUAGGUUGUUGUUGGGGUAACGGCCCAACAAGCCGAUAAUCGGUACGGGUUGUGGGAGCAAGAGCCCGGAGUUGGAUUCUGAGACACGAAUCCAGGCCCUACGGGGCGCAGCAGGCGCGAAAACUUUACAAUGCGGGAAACCGUGAUAAGGGAACCUCGAGUGCCUGUAUAUGCAGGCUGUCCAGGUGUCUAAAAAACACCUGAAGAAAGGGCCGGGCAAGACCGGUGCCAGCCGCCGCGGUAAUACCGGCGGCUCGAGUGGUGGCCACUUUUAUUGGGCUUAAAGCGUUCGUAGCUGGGUUGUUAACUCUCUUGGGAAAUCUGACGGCUCAACCGUCAGGCGUCCAAGGGAUACUGGCAAUCUUGGAACCGGGAGAGGUGAGGGGUACUUCGGGGGUAGGAGUGAAAUCCUGUAAUCCUCGAGGGACCACCUGUGGCGAAGGCGCCUCACCAGAACGGCUUCGACAGUGAGGGACGAAAGCUGGGGGAGCAAACCGGAUUAGAUACCCGGGUAGUCCCAGCCCUAAACGAUGCGCGUUAGGUGUAUCGGUGACCACGAGUCACCGAGGUGCCGAAGGGAAACCGUGAAACGUGCCGCCUGGGAAGUACGGUCGCAAGGCUGAAACUUAAAGGAAUUGGCGGG